rnacentral:rRNA from 1 species
AGAGGUCUCAAGCGUUGUUCGGAUUCAUUGGGCGUAAAGGGUGCGUAGGUGGUGAUGCAAGUCUGGUGUGAAAUCUCGGAGCUUAACUCCGAAACUGCACCGGAUACUGCGUGACUCGAGGACUGUAGAGGAGAUCGGAAUUCACGGUGUAGCAGUGAAAUGCGUAGAUAUCGUGAGGAAGACCAGUUGCGAAGGCGGAUCUCUGGGCAGUUCCUGACACUGAGGCACGAAGGCCAGGGGAGCAAACGGGAUUAGAUACCCCGGUAGUCCUGGCAGUAAACGGUGCACGUUUGGUGUGGGCGGGUUCAGACCCCGUCCGUGCCGGAGCUAACGCGUUAAACGUGCCGCCUGGGAAGUACGGUCGCAAGAUUA